rnacentral:misc_RNA from 1 species
GUAGGUGAACCUGCGGAAGGAUCAUUAGAGACGGGCCCGCGGCACCGGCGACACCCGCCGGUAUCGCGCGCGCCUCAUCCGACCCCGUGGCCGCGUGCGCCGCGACCCCCGACCGAGCGUCGACCGAAAGAUGGUUACACCGUCGAAAGACCGUCCGCGGACCACGGGAAAAAUUUCGACGAAAACAAAAAAAGAAAAAAAAACACCCGACCCCGAACGGCGGAUCACUUGGCUCGUGCAUCGAUGAAGA